rnacentral:sRNA from 1 species
CAUACUUAAGUCACAAUUUCUUAACUGUUAAGAUUUUCGAAUUAAGUAUGAUGUUGUGUUUGCAUAUUGUUUGGUUUUUCCAAACCAAAGUAACGAAAGUUACUUUUUCUUUUCAUUUCCUGU